GCAGUCACUAGAGACGGUUAGGAGCAGUCACUAGAGACGGUUUGGAGCAGGCAUUAGCAGAAUCUGUGAAGUACUUGUUUCUCCACAGAGAGAAAAUCUAUAUUUUUAUUAACGUUGCUCUUGAAAAGAAGAGGUAGUCGUUAGCUUCACAUACUGGGAUGGUUUGUGACACAGAUGGGAGAAAGAGGCUGUUGGAAGCAAAAUAUUUAUUUGGUAUUUUGCAAUCGAGAACGGCAGCUAGAAAGGCCUACCUCUGUCAGGCUGUGUGCUGUUCCACCCAGCAUAACACGCACGCGUGCACACACACACACACACACGCGCACGCACACACACACACACACACACACACAUACGCACACACAUACGCACACACACACACACAUACGCACACACAUACGCACACACAUACGCACACACACACACACACACACACACACACACACACACACACAUACGCACACACACACUCUAAAGGGUGAACCAGCUCAGGGCUAAAACAAAUCUGAAACGCCUGGGGGUUCCCAACCUAUAGACUAUAGAACCACUGACUGACAACAGGACAGACUAUAGAACCACUGACUGACAACAGGACAGACUAUAGAACCACUGACUGACAACAGGACAGACUAUAGAACCACAAGCUAUACCACAUAGCUAUGUGGACCAGUCAUAGUCCAUACAUUCAUCUCCAGAUAGCUAUGUGGACCAGUCACAGUUAGUACAUUCAUCUCCAGAUAGGUAGGUGGACCAGUCAUAGUCAGUACAUUCAUCAGAUAGGUAGGUGGACCAGUCAUAGUCAGUACAUUCAUCAGAUAGCUAGGUGGACCAGUCAUAGUCAGUACAUUCAUCUCCAGAUAGCUAGGUGGGACAACCACAUAUCACAGUCAGCACAUUUUGCCUCAAAGACACAGAGUAGUCACCUACAACCCACAGACAGUGUAGUGACCUACAACCCACAGACAGUGUAGUCACCUACAACCCACAGACACUGUGUAGUCACCUACAACCCACAGACACAGUGUAGUCACCUACAACCCACAGACACAGUGUAGUCAC
ensembl:lncRNA